GUCCAUGUAGCUCAGCAGGAUAGAGCGACCGCCUCCUAAGCGGUAGGUCGGAGGUUCGAAUCCCCUCAUGGACG
rnacentral:tRNA from 1 species